GAGGGUAUAGCUCAAAUGGUAGAGAGCAUGUUUAGCAUGCAGGAGGUCCUGGGUUCAAUCCCCAGUAUCUCCU
rfam:Camelus ferus unplaced genomic scaffold scaffold273, whole genome shotgun sequence.